rnacentral:rRNA from 1 species
UACGUAGGGCGCAAGCGUUGUCCGGAAUUAUUGGGCGUAAAAGAGCUCGUAGGCGGCUUGUCACGUCGGGUGUGAAAGCCCGGGGCUUAACCCCGGGUCUGCAUUCGAUACGGGCUGGCUAGAGUGUGGUAGGGGAGAUCGAAUUCCUGGUGUAGCGGUGAAAUGCGCAGAUAUCAGGAGGAACACCGGUGGCGAAGGCGGAUCUCUGGGCCAUUACUGACGCUGAGGAGCGAAAGCGUGGGGAGCGAACAGG